UUUCAAAGCCCGGGCGGAGCGAACGAUGAGAAGCCAAUUGAGACAGAGAGAGUGAGAGUUCUUCUUCUUCUUCAAGCUGUUUCGAAUCAGGGUUACGAGCAAUCGAGGAGCCAUGGCGGGUGCGCUCGUCAGGAAGGUUGGCACGCACUCCUGCCCUCGCGCUGUGCGCGCCUGUGUAGCCGCAUUGCAGGCGGAGGGUCAUUUUCUUCGCGAUCAGGCCAAUUUGGGAUUCGGAAAUGCUGCCGUGCGUCAUUCUUCGUCGUUGGCGGUGUCGGGGAGUCACCGGCCUGUUAAAAGGGGUACUGGGGGUAGAUCGUCCGUGAGUGGUGUUGUUGCCACAGUAUUUGGAGCUACUGGAUUUUUAGGUCGUUAUGUGAUUCAGCAACUUGCAAGAAUGGGGUCCCAAGUCAUGGUACCUUACAGAGGCUUGGAUGAGGAAUGGAGGCAUUUGAAGCUCAUGGGAGACUAGGACAGAAUUUUUCAGAUUGUGCCGAUAAAGUACGAUGCAAGAGAUGAGGGCUCCAUUAAGCCAGUUAUUGCCAACUCCAAUGUUAUUGUGAAUUGCAUCGGAAAAGAGUACGAGACAAGAAAUUUCAGCUUCGAGGAUGUCAAUCAUGGAAUCUCAAAUCGUAUAUCUAAGUUGGCUAGGGAGCAUGGUGGUAUUCUUAAGUACGUACAAAUGUCAUGUUUGGCUGCAGCCCCUGAUUCUCCGUCAAGACUUCUUCGGUCUAAGCACGCUGCUGAGGAGGUAGUUAAGCAGAACUUUCCUGAGGCCACAAUUUUGAGAACAGGACCUAUGGUCGGUGUUGAGGACCGUUUGCUGAAUCGGUGGGCUAUCCAAGCAAAAAAACUUCCUGUUGUGCCCAUUCCGGGUGAUGGUCUUACCAAGAUGCAACCUGUUCUUGUAGUUGAUGUCGCUGCAGCAGUUAUCGCAGCCAUCAGAGAUGAAGGUUUUAGCAUGGGCAAAACAUUUGAGCUUGGUGGACCAGAUGUCUUUACAGUGAAUGAUCUUGUGACGCUUGUGUUUGAAGCAAUACGAGAGCAUCCGCGUGUUGUGCAUAUUCCUAUGGCUCUAGCCCAGCUUCUUGCUAUGCCACGGGAGGUUGCAAUGAAGAGAGGAAUCCCAAUUCCUUUUUCACCGACAUUCUCGAAAGACUACCUGGAUCAAUUGUCUUGCGACCUCGUCGUCUCUUCAGAUGCAAUGGGUCUGGCAGACCUUGGCGUAACAUCCCACAAAAUCGGCGGUCUUACAAUUGAGCAUUUGAAUGCUUACCGGACUGGUGGCCCGUCAGUUGGAACUACAGUGGGUGAAUCAAUUCAUGGAGCUGGAUUUUGAUCACUUUUGCUGAUGAUUUCUUCUCAAUAAAACUCCUCGGACCAUUUCUCAUUUCAGUUUUGCAAAGAUGAUUAUAGCCAGUUCCCAUCUCAUCAUCGGCUCAGUCGAGGUAGGUUCGAAAAAAUAUAGUUGUAGGCAGUCUGACUACAUCCCACGUUGUACUUGGUGCUCCUUUGUGGACUGCAGUGGCUGCAGCUACAAUUGACGGAGCCCAUUUGUCAUGCAACUUAGAUAAGUUAGUGGGCUGUUUUUACCCAGGCUGAGAAGGAGAUACAGCGAAUGUCAUUCGAAUACCGACACAUCCACUCCGAAGAAUUCCGCACGUAUCUUGUUUCGCUGCUUCACUUAUUGUCCUAAGGAUCGACCAGCAUAUGUUUAUAUCCAUUUAGAAAAUAUGCAAUGAUUACCAGAGAUAAAUAAAGUGAUUGUAUGCUCA